UUGAACGCUGGCGGCAGGCCUAACACAUGCAAGUCGAGCGGAUGAAGGGAGCUUGCUCCUGGAUUCAGCGGCGGACGGGUGAGUAAUGCCUAGGAAUCUGCCUGGUAGUGGGGGAUAACGUCCGGAAACGGGCGCUAAUACCGCAUACGUCCUGAGGGAGAAAGUGGGGGAUCUUCGGACCUCACGCUAUCAGAUGAGCCUAGGUCGGAUUAGCUAGUUGGUGGGGUAAAGGCCUACCAAGGCGACGAUCCGUAACUGGUCUGAGAGGAUGAUCAGUCACACUGGAACUGAGACACGGUCCAGACUCCUACGGGAGGCAGCAGUGGGGAAUAUUGGACAAUGGGUGAAAGCCUGAUCCAGCCAUGCCGCGUGUGUGAAGAAGGUCUUCGGAUUGUAAAGCACUUUAAGUUGGGAGGAAGGGCAGUAAGUUAAUACCUUGCUGUUUUGACGUUACCAACAGAAUAAGCACCGGCUAACUUCGUG
rnacentral:rRNA from 1 species